UUUUGUUUGUUUUGCUUCGACUUCCUCUGUGAGAGAGAGCUUUUGCUCGACUUGCACGGAGUGAGAGACAAAGAGGGAGAAGGAGGGAAGGGACAUUUCGCCACCAAUCAGAAAAAGAAGAAGAUUUGUUGAAGGAAAGUCUAGAGAGGAGGAAGGGAUCGAUGUCUUGGUCAAUUGGGUUUUCAGGAUAGUUAAAUUAGAAAUCCAUUGGUUUUAUAAUUACAAAACUGACUUGAUUCCUAGGCAUCAUCCAAAACCCGUUCUCUUGAUUUGAACUUAACCCUUCUGUCGAUUUUAGUCUGUUCCCAAUUUCAGAAUUUCCGUUUCACCUUCAAAGUUUCAAUCUUCAAAGGAUGAGUAUUUCAAAGCUUAUUACGCUGCCUUUAAUAAAAAUACAAGAAGAAGAAGCAGCAAAGAGUUGUCAGGUUAGCAUGAAGUCAUGACUCAAAACUUCGAAGAUGAAGGACAAGAUAAUGUUGGCUGGGAAGAGGCUCCAGUUGCAGGCGAACUCGACCAAGGUUUAAGAGCAUAGCGGUCAGCAGGGAGCCAUGUGUUCCCAAAUUCUACUAUCAGCUCUGUUUCCCACUUGUAAAACUUCACGUGCCUUAAGGAUGCAUGCUUCUCCAAGGGAAGGAAGGUUGCGGCCCUAACUCUACAUCCCAAUUGGAAAAUAAAAGGCUUUGUAUACCUGAGCAAUAAGAGAUGUUGGAUUUCGAAGUAGCCUCCAACCUUGCUUGGCUAACAUCGCCAAAUUGAACAAAUGUAGAUCUUUAAAUCCCGUACCACCUUCAUUCUUUGGGAUACACAAUCUCUCCCAGGAUUGCCAAUGUAUUUUCUUUUUGGUGUAAGUAUCACCGCACCAAAAUUGAGCACGUACAAAGCUGAUGAAGAUCAG